rnacentral:misc_RNA from 1 species
GCUGCGAUCGCCUUGAAUUCGCUCAUGCUGGAAGAGUCAGCAGCUGCGGUGGAGCUGCCCUUGCUGCUGACUUCAGUUUUGAGAGAUGUGACAUCAGGUGCCUUCGUGGUUCCUUGUUCGCUGGUUCCUGGUUACAGCUAUACUUUAUCAAGUCUGCUAGCAGCGGCCGAUGCCUCCUUCUCCACGUUGCUUGUUUGAGAUGGUUUAGCAGCAUUUACACUGCCUUGACCACCGCGCCAGCAGUCCUCUCCUUUCUUUCCUUAGAUGAUCCAUCCUCCCCGUCGUCACUGUCCGAGAAUACUUCAUCUUUAUCAUUGCUUCCAGUCCCCUUGUUGGAUUCUGCAGGCGCAACACUAUUUUCUUUCACAGCCGUGCUAGCCGAGGAAUCGGCAUCAGAUUUAUUAUCAACUGCUCCAGCGGCUGGUUUUGGUGGUUGCG